rnacentral:rRNA from 1 species
AUGCCGCGUGAGUGAUGAAGGCCUUAGGGUCGUAAAGCUCUUUCGCCAGGGAUGAUAAUGACAGUACCUGGUAAAGAAACCCCGGCUAACUCCGUGCCAGCAGCCGCGGUAAUACGGAGGGGGUUAGCGUUGUUCGGAAUUACUGGGCGUAAAGCGCACGUAGGCGGAUUAGACAGUCAGAGGUGAAAUCCCAGGGCUCAACCCUGGAACUGCCUUUGAUACUGCUAGUCUUGAGUUCGAGAGAGGUGAGUGGAAUUCCGAGUGUAGAGGUGAAAUUCGUAGAUAUUCGGAGGAACACCAGUGGCGAAGGCGGCUCACUGGCUCGAUACUGACGCUGAGGUGCGAAAGUGUGGGGAGCAAACAGGAUUAGAUACCCUGGUAGUCCACACCGUAAACGAUGAAUGCC